rnacentral:rRNA from 1 species
CCUACGGGUGGCAGCAGUGAGGAAUAUUGGUCAAUGGGCGUAAGCCUGAACCAGCCAAGUCGCGUGAGGGAUGAAGGUUCUAUGGAUCGUAAACCUCUUUUAUCAGGGAAUAAAGUCGGGGACGUGUCCCUGUUUGCAUGUACCUGAUGAAUAAGGAUCGGCUAACUCCGUGCCAGCAGCCGCGGUAAUACGGAGGAUCCGAGCGUUAUCCGGAUUUAUUGGGUUUAAAGGGUGCGUAGGCGGGCUUUUAAGUCAGCGGUGAAAGUCUGUGGCUCAACCAUGGACUUGCGGUUGAAACUGGGAGUCUUGAGUGGGAGUGAGGCAGGCGGAAUGCGUGGUGUAGCGGUGAAAUGCUUAGAUAUCACGCAGAACCCCGAUUGCGAAGGCAGCCUGCC